rnacentral:misc_RNA from 1 species
GAUGAAGAACGUAGCGAAAUGCGAUAAGUAAUGUGAAUUGCAGAAUUCAGUGAAUCAUCGAAUCUUUGAACGCACCUUGCACCCUUUGGCAUUCCGAAGGGUAUGCUCGUUUGAGUGUCAUUGUACUCUCACACUUCCGAUCUUUGGAUUGGGAGCGGUGGACUUGGGUGUUGCUGCUUACUGUGGCUCACCUCAAAUCGAUUCGUGCACCUCUUGGUUGGACAUAGUACGGCGUGAUAAGUGUCUUCGCCGGCACCUCAGUAGAGGGUGGCUGAUCGGGAGCUCUGUGCUUCAAACCGUCCUCGGACAACAACUGACAACUUGGCCUCAAAUCGAGUAGGACUACCCGCUGAACUUAAGCAUAUCAAUAAGCGGAGGA